rnacentral:misc_RNA from 1 species
AACUUUCAACAACGGAUCUCUUGGCUCUGGCAUCGAUGAAGAACGCAGCGAAAUGCGAUAUGUAAUGCGAAUUGCAGAAUUUAGUGAAUCAUCGAAUCUUUGAACGCACAUUGCGCCCCUUGGUAUUCCGAGGGGCAUGCCUGUCCGAGCGUCAUAUACACCAUUCAAGCUCUGCUUGGUAUUAGGCCGUGCAGCGAUGGCAGGCCUUAAAUUUAGUGGCGGCACCGUUGGGUCCCGAGCGUAGUACUCACCUCGCUACGGGUCCCGGCGGCUGGCGACCAGCAACCCCAACUUCUCAAGGUUGACCUCGGAUCAGGUAGGAAUACCCGCUGAACUUAAGCAUAUCAAUAAGCGGAGGCU